rnacentral:lncRNA from 1 species
UGAUCAAAUAAUCUAACAAGUAAAUAUGAAAUAUGAGAGCAUUAACAAGGGAAUCUGCGAGGUUUCAGAAGGCGAAGGAGAUGUGCAGCCGUCCUGUGAGCAAUGGGAAGAACGGAUGCGUUGAUAGUCCAGUCUUCCUGCCAGAGAGAGUCACGGCUGACUUCCUCAGCUAUUCACCCAGGAAGUCAGCACAACUCUCCAAGUGCUGCCAAAUGUUAUCCUUUGUCUGAAGCUAAUGGAUAAUGCCCCCACUUCGUCUACUCUCAGCAGCUGUGGCCAUCAUCUAAAUGAAUAUAUGAAUUAAAUUAAUGUGCA